CUAUCUUCCAAUUAUAUGGACCAUUUAGUUUGACAACCUCCAUUAGGAUUUUAAGAUUCAAACUCUUUCUCCAGGAAAAAUUAAUUCUCCAACCAUCAAUGGAUAUGGCUCCACUUCUACUUGAGAAGUGAAGGUUCAAUUUCCUCACAAAUGGAUGUAAAGUGGUUUAGUGUGAAGGGUCAAUGUACUUUUGCAUGGAUGUC
rnacentral:lncRNA from 1 species